GACGAACGCUGGCGGCGUGCUUAACACAUGCAAGUCGAACGAAGUGGCGAACGGGCGAGUAAUACGUGGGUAACCUGCCCUCCUUUUUGGGAUAAGCCUUGGAAACGGGGUCUAUUACCGAACAAAGGGGGCUGGGCUCGCGGCCUAUCAGCUUGUUGGUGGGGUGAUGGCCUAUCUAGGCGACGACCCCUAGCUGGUCUGAGAGGGUGAUGAGCCACACUGGGACGGAGACACGGCCCGGACUCCUACGGGAGGCAGCAGUGGGGAAUAUUGCACAAUGGGCGCAAGCCUGAUGCAGACAUGCCGCGUGUAUGAAGAAGGCCUUCGGGUUUUAAAGUACUUUCAGUCGGUAGGCGUUACCGACAGAGGAAGCACCGGCUAACUCCGUGCCAGCAGCCGCGGUAAUAC
rnacentral:rRNA from 1 species